UCGCCUGUUUAUCAAAAACAUGGCUCUCUGUAUAUUGAAGAUAGAGAGUCGGACCUGCCCGGUGAAUUUUUUAACGGCCGCGGUACUCUGACCGUGCAAAGGUAGCAUAAUCAUUUGCCUUAUAAUUGAAGGCUAGAAUGAAUGGUUUGACAAGAAUACAACUGUCUCUUUACAAUUACAUAAAAUUUUAUCUGCAGUUGAAGAAGCCUGCAUUUGAAUAAAAGACAAGAAGACCCUAUCGAGCUUAAAAAAAACUGGUGGAAUAACAAACUUAAUCCUAACUUAUAAAUAAAUAAAUAGUCAACUACUGGAAAUUUUGGUUGGGGCGACCGGGGAACAAAAAAAACUUCCUUUAUAAAAAUUUAGAUGCCCAAAUAUUGAUCCAGCAUUAUAUGAUUAAAGAAAUUAGUUACCGUAGGGAUAACAGCAUUAUCUUUUUUAAGAGUUCUUAUCUUGAAAAAAAGGUUUGUGACCUCGAUGUUGGACCAGAAUAUCCUAAAGAUGCAGCC
rnacentral:rRNA from 1 species